GGAUUGGAUGCUUCUUCUGCCGUUGUUGUCGUCCAUGGAGUCUUCAUCAUCGUCGACUCCCUCGAAUUUUCUUUCUUAUUGCAAUUAUCUAAAUUUUCUAUUAUUCCGUCCGGUUCUAGCUAUCCUUUUUGUCCUCUCCUUCAUUGUACUCUGGUGGUUGUUGGCAUGGAAGCUAGUUCUGGUACACGUGCCACUGGUUCAAGAAAUUUUCGGUCUGAGGAAAAAACCGGUUAAACCAAAGCCGCCGACUCGUCGAUUAUCCAGAUAUUAUAACAGCAUCAAUGCUCAUGAUUCUACUCCUCGAUAAUGAUAUCAGCCAUAAAGAUCUGUAAACCAAUGCUGGCAGUUAAAAAUACAGAAAAGACAGCUGAGAGUCGCACAAGAUUGAAAUUCUCAAUUUCUUCAUGCUUUAGAGGGCGAGAAAGGGAUCUCAGUUGUCAAAUAGUUGAUGUAAAUGAAGGAAUUGACAUUCAAGAGGACUGGAGAAUGUAGUUUUUUCCUUUUGUUCAUAGAUAUUCAAUGGUUGUAAAGAAUUCAGUUAUUGAAAAUAUAUGAUGAUUGUUAAAAGUUUACCCAUCUCUUGUGCCAUUUGAAAUUGAGUU